rnacentral:rRNA from 1 species
UACGGAGGGUGCGAGCGUUGUCCGGAAUCACUGGGCGUAAAGGGCGCGUAGGCGGCUCCAUAAGCGGGCGGUGAAAGCCCGGGGCUCAACCCCGGGUCGGCCGUGCGGACUGUGGGGCUGGAGCACUGUAGAGGCGGGUGGAAUUCCGGGUGUAGCGGUGGAAUGCGUAGAGAUCCGGAAGAACACCGGUGGCGAAGGCGGCCCGCUGGGCAGUGGCUGACGCUGAGGCGCGACAGCGUGGGGGAGCAAACAGG